GGAGGAUUGACCCCUUCAGUGCCGCAGUUAACACAAUAAGUAAUCCACCUGGGGAGUACGACCGCAAGGUUGAAACUCAAAGGGAAUUGACGGGGGCCCGCACAAGCAGUGGAGUAUGUGGUUUAAUUUGACGCAACGCGAAGAACCUUACCAAGUCUUGACAUCCCUUGACGAUGCUGGAAACAGCAUUUCUCUUCGGAGCAAGGAGACAGGUGGUGCAUGGUUGUCGUCAGCUCGUGUCGUGAGAUGUUGGGUUAAGUCCCGCAACGAGCGCAACCCUUAUGGUCAGUUACUACGCAAGAGGACUCUGGCCAGACUGCCGUUGACAAAACGGAGGAAGGUGGGGAUGACGUCAAAUCAUCAUGCCCUUUAUGACUUGGGCUACACACGUACUACAAUGGCGUUAAACAAAGAGAAGCAAGACCGCGAGGUGGAGCAAAACUCAGAAACAACGUCCCAGUUCGGACUGCAGGCUGCAACUCGCCUGCACGAAGUCGGAAUUGCUAGUAAUCGUGGAUCAGCAUGCCACGGUGAAUACGUUCCCGGGCCUUGUACA
rnacentral:rRNA from 1 species